rnacentral:rRNA from 1 species
UACGUAGGGGGCAAGCGUUGUCCGGAAUCAUUGGGCGUAAAGCGCGUGUAGGCGGCUCGGUAAGUCUGCUGUGAAAGUCCAGGGCUCAACCCUGGGAUGCCGGUGGAUACUGUCGAGCUCGAGUCCGGAAGAGGCGAGUGGAAUUCCUGGUGUAGCGGUGAAAUGCGCAGAUAUCGGGAGGAACACCAAUGGCGAAGGCAGCUUGCUGGGACGGUACUGACGCUGAGACGCGAAAGCGUGGGGAGCAAACAGG